AAUUGGCGUUUCAAAAGGCCUGCAGAGUCUCCCGCCAACAUCCUUCCUCAUUACAAACCUGCCGGCUGCAGCCGCCACUCUCGUUUCAAAUCUGUUUUAGUUUUCUCCAUCGCCAUGUUUCGCCUCCCAUUUUUCUCCAAUUUCUUCCCUCCACAUUUCUCUCUAUACUCAUCCAUUUUAUUCCCUACAAGUCAUUGAUGCUUUCGAGGUUUACCCAUUAUUUCUGCACCAAUGCGAUCCACUCACUGGAACGUGGUCAAACCAUUCCCACUUUCGGCCAUGGGGGUGACAGCUCCAGCUGAACCCAUACAUUUCAUUCUGUUCCUCAAUUGAAGGUGGACGAUUACUUUCCAAGUGGAGGAUGAUGGAAGCCGGAUUUCUUCAUUUCGGGAAGGCACCUUUUUGUUUUUUGAAUGUAGGAAUCGAAAUCUGCCUAGUGGCUCUCUGUAUAAUGGCAGGUGAAAUUUGUAAUCCUUCAGUGCGCUGUUUUCUUGAGUUUAAGUGUCUCUGAAAAUAAACAGAGAAGGUGGACCAUCUUAAUUUCUCCCGACAACUGUUCAUCCAAGCAAGUUGAGAAACGCUACUGCUUAUUCAAUAUUUAAAUCCGGUAAAAUGACUGAAUUUAGCUAAUGUGAUAAAAAUGUCUUCCCAUGAGAUUCACUUCAUGAAAGCCAACUAAGAACUGUAUGACAUUUCAGGAUUUUUUCUUAUUCCAAUAAAAAGGUUUGCGGGAUUGAGAUUUGAAUCCCUAAGUUCUGGUCAAA